rnacentral:lncRNA from 1 species
CCAUUCCUAAGUCAAAAAUGACUCUCAAAAACGUUCUACUAUGUAUAUAUACCACGUAAGGUUGGACCCAAACAGUUAUACCUUCUCUAAUGUGAAAAAUGACACUUUUUCCGGGUCAAACUAGCGCGAUCGCGCACCUAGGCGCGCAUCUGGACAACUUUCUGUCCCGGGCGCGCUAAAACUAGCGCAGCCGCGCUAGUGUGAAUGUUUCACCCCGUUCUAUUCCGAAUUUGAAAAAACGUAAAACAUAAAAUUUGUAGCUCUUUGAGUCAUAUUUCCAACCAUAUAUUAUAGAGCCAAAUUGGAGUUCUGAGCGAAAAGUUAUGUCUAUUUUAUUAGACAGCGUGCAACUGGAUGUUUCGUUCGCUCUAACUAUCAUCUGUUGACCCCCAAACGCGAUCACGACUUAAUUCCUUGAGCUUUUACUCAGAUUUCAAAACUCUAAAUUACUUGAAUUCAUUCCAUAAUAUAUAUAUAGCUCAAAAUCACUCCUACAAGGCAUAAAACACACAGUUAGUGCAUGACACUAACGAUUAAAGCGCAAACUCAAUCAAAAUGCAGUAAAUUUGAGUGCAAUAAGCGACUAAAAUACAUAAUUAUAGCCUAUCAUCAUGGACCCAAAAAGGCCACUUGUCUAAAAAAAAUAAAAAAGCCUCAUAGAAUUGGUCAACCCUGCAUAUUCCCUAAAUAAUUAUCAUUUUGCUUAAUCAAACCUUUAAUUAACCUCACCAGCCAUUAUUUUUAGUAUUAGUACUCAGGUUUCUUUUUGUGGAUGGGCCACAAUGUCCACGUUCUUGUUGAUUGAUGCAGGAUUUCGAUCAUUUUAUUACAUUGUUAAUUAAUUUGAUUUGAUUGCGUUCUUAUUCUUGAUAGUGUAUUCGUGUCACACUCUCAUUGCUUCGUUGUGCCAUGGAUUUAUAAAUAUCUUAUUAACAUUAUUAAACUAAUGAUAUUAUUCGAUGUGAUUUGCAGAAAGAGGGAUUACCCGAUACAAACAUAAAUCUUGCAUUCUUGCAGAUUCUUCGGCCAUACGACAAAUUAAAUGCUACAUCUGAUCUUAUCUCACAUCUAAGCCAAAAAUAACCCCUUUUCCUGCAACCAUCGAUUAGCCAAGUCAACAACAAAAAUGUUAAUAUAUUAAUUUUCAAUAUUAACUCAAUUAAUUAAAAUUAUGGUGUAAUUCGGCAGAACCAAAGAACCAGCUUCAAGUUGUAAAACAGCUGUCAGAAGAGAAACCUUUUUCUAACGAAAGUAGUAGUAUUCAGUAAUCUCAGGUAUGUAGACAGAAAGAUGCACAUGCAUAUAGAAAUCCAAAAAGAACUAUCCAAAAUAACGAAAUAAGUACUGUGAAAUGUCCACCAAAAUCUCAUCAGCGAUAACCGAGUAUGUUAAACAAACAAAAUUUAGGGAAAAACUCACCAGAAUUGAGGUAAAUAAAGUACAGGGAAAAAAUAACUUGAAAUUCAACAUGAGUUUUGAGAAGGAAAGGACUUCUACAUCACUGUUUUCCUUUCCUUUUUCUAGCAGCCACCGGCUAUCAUCUCCGACGAAUUAGACAAUUGUUGAGCAUGUUUGAAAUAACAGAGGAAAAACAAAAAGAAAGUGUUAAAUAUUGUAUCCGUACAAACGAUGAUUGAAGAACCAAAUCUCAAAACAUCAAAGAACUCCAAAAGGAAACAAAAAGCAGAUAACAAUCAAAUAAAUAAUAAAAUUAAAAAGAAGAAAAGCAGAAAGAUUAAGCAGAGAAACAUAUAGAGAAGCCGAAAGAGGAGGAGGACAGAGAAAGUGAGAAUUGAAAAGAAGAUGACCCGAAGUUACUUUCAAGUGGGUCUGUCUCCCCCCAAGAGAACGUUUACCAUAAUGCCCUUCAGGACUUAGAAGUAAUUAAUUAAAUAUUUUGCAUUUUAUUGGAAUUUUUG